rnacentral:rRNA from 1 species
CCUACGGGUGGCAGCAGUGAGGAAUAUUGGUCAAUGGGCGCUAGUCUGAACCAGCCAAGUAGCGUGAAGGAUGACUGCCCUAUGGGUUGUAAACUUCUUUUAUAUGGGAGUAAAGUUCAGUAUGUAUACUGAUUUGCAUGUACCUUAUGAAUAAGGAUCGGCUAACUCGGUGCCAGCAGCCGCGGUAAUACGGAGGAUCCGAGCGUUAUCCGGAUUUAUUGGGUUUAAAGGGAGCGUAGGCGGGUUGUUAAGUUAGUUGUGAAAGUUUGCGGCUCAACCGUAAAAUUGCAGUUGAUACUGUCAUCCUUGAGUGCAGUUGAGGUAGGCGGAAUGCGUGGUGUAGCGGUGAAAUGCUUAGAUAUCAUGAAGAACUCCGAUUGCGAAGGCAGCUUGCUAGACUGUAACUGACGCUGAUGCUCGAAAGUGUGGGUAGCAAACAGGAUUAGAUACCCUAGUAGUC